GAAUUGUUGAUCAGUUUUAAUUGUUUUUUUGUGGAAUCUUUAGGUCUUUCAGAAUUUAAGAUUAUAUCAUCUGCAAACAAGGAUAAUUUGACUUCUUCCUUUCUAAUUGGGAUACCAUUUAUUUCAUUCUCUUGUCUAACUGCUCUAGCUAAGACUUCUAGUACUAUGUUGAAUAACAGUCAUGAAUGUGGGCAUUCUUGUCAUGUUCCAGAUUUAAGAGGAAACACUCAGUUUUUCCACAUUCAGUUAAAUCUUAGUUGUGGGUCUGUCAUAUAUGGCUUUUGUUAUGCUGCAAUAUGUUCCUUCUAUACCAAGGUUUUUUUUGUCAUGAAGGGAUACUGAACUUUAUCAAAUGCUUUCUCAACAUCACUUGAAAUAAUCAUAUGUACUUUGUCCAUAUGAUUCAUUUGCAGAUGUUAAAGCAUCCUUGCAUCCCUGGGAUAUAUCCCAGUUGGUCAUGAUGAAAGAUCUUUCUGAUGUAUUGUUGGAUAAAUUUAUCUGAUAAAAUUUUGAAUACCUUCUCUGUGUUAUUUUGAAUUUCUAUGAAUUUCCUCAAAACAGCUAUUUUGAAUUAUCUGUCUGAAUGGUCAUAUAUCCCUGUUUCUCCAGGAUUUGUCCCUGCUGGCUUAUUUAGUUUGGUGAAAUCAUCAUGUUUUCCUGGAUUGUGUUGAUGCUUGUAGAUGUUCUUUGGUGUCUGGGCAUUGAAGAGUUAGGUAUUUAUUGUAGCCUUCACAGUCUGGGCUUGCCUGUGCCUGUCUUACUUAAAGGUUUUCAAGGUAUUCAAAUGGACUUUUUCCCCAAGCCCAAUAAUGCUGUGACUUUGGCAGACUUGUAGAGGUAUUGCCUUGGUGGUCUUGGAUAAGAUCUUAAAGAAUUCUCUGGAUUACCAGACAGAGAUUCUUGUCCUUUUCCCUUAUUUUCUUCCAAACAUAUAGAGUCUCUCUCUCUCUGUGCUGAGCCACUUGAAACUGGGGGUGUGGUGAUGCAGCACCUCUGUGGCCACCACCACUGGGACUUUGCUGGAUCAGACCUGGAGCCAGUACAACACUGGGCCUUGCCUAAGGCCCUUCCCUUGAGGGUGGUGAGCUCCCCCAAGCCCCAUUGAUCAGAAAUGCUGUCUGGGAGCCAGGGACUGGCAUCAAAACCCUCAGCAAUUUACCUGAUGUUCUCUUGUACUGCAGCUAAGCUGGCACACAAACCACAAUAUAAGUUACUUUCCACUCUUUCCUCUCCUUUCCAUGGACACUGGAGCCUCAUUCUGUGGCCAUCUCCACCACUGGUCCACGGAAGGCUGGGGGGCGGCCCACCAGGCUACUACCUUAAGAGCUACUGCCAGCUCUUAAACUCAAGAGCUCUUUUGUCAGUUUGGUGAAAGCUGCAAGGUCUAGAACUCACCUUUGAGGGUAGUGGACUCUCCCCUGGCCCAGUGUAGAUGCAGAAAUGCUGUCCAAAAGCCUACACCUAAACUUGGGGACCUCAAGAGCCUGCUUAUUGCUCUAACCCGCUGUGGUCAAGCUGGUACUUAGCGUGCAAGACAAAGUUCUCUUUAGUUUUUCCUCUGCUUUCCUCAAAUAGAAAGAGACUUUAACUGUAGCCACUACAGCUGGGAAUGUACUGGAUUUCCCCUGGAGCCAAGAUAUCUCAGAGCCCAAGGCCUAUGCCAUCCUCCCUGGGUAUAGCUGGUGAUUACUCGGGGCCCGAGGGCUCUUUAGUCAGUGAGUGAUGAAUCCUGCCAAAACUGAGUCCUUCCCUUCAAGGCAGUAGGUUCCCUUUUGGCCUGGGAUGUGUCUAAAAAUGUCAUCCAAGAGCUAGGACCUGGAAUGUGGGCCUCACAACUCGACCCAGUGUCCUAUUCUGUGGCUGAGCUGGUAUCCAAGAUGCAAGACAAAGUCUUUACUCUUAACUCUGCUUUUCUUAAGCAGAAGGAAAGAGUCACUUUUAUGGCAAAGAGCUGCACUGCCUGGUGUUUGUGAAAGAAUAGUGCAGGCCCUAUCUUACCUGUGUCAGCUGGUGUCUCCCUAAUUCCCAUGCCACCCUAGUCCACUGGCUCUGAGCCCAGCUCAUUUCUGAAGCUGUGGGAAGGACCCAGAGGGAGAUGAUUGAAUUAUGGGAGUGGGUCUUUCCUGUGCUGUUCCUGUGAUAGAGGAUAAGUCUCAUGACAUCUCAUGGCUUUAAAAUGGGAGUUUGCCUGCACAAGCUCUCUCUUUGCCUGCCGCCAUCCACAUAGGAUGUGACUUGCCCCUCCAUGCCUUCUGCCAUGGUUGUGAGGCCUCUCCAGCUACAUGGAUCUGUGAGUCCAAUUAAACCUCUUUAUUUUGCCCAGACUAAGGUAUGUCUUUAUCAGCUGCAUAAAAACAGACUAAUACAAUCACAUUGUACUUUAAUUGUCUGCUUUUUUGUCUAUAUUCCAGGUUUAAUAAUAUUAGGUUCUGUGUUUCACCAGGGAAAAUCACAAUCGAAGAGGAUAUCACAGUCCUGCAAUAUAGUAGCCAUUUAAUAAAUCUUGGUUGAAAUUUGGCAAGUGUGUGUUUGUGUGUGUAUGUGUGUGUGUGUGUUUAUGCACAUGCACAUAUGGGUAUUAAAGUUCAUCUGUUAAACAAUAAAUUCUGGAUAACUGGAAAUUUAACAAGUAGAAUACUAUUGCUUUUAUAGGAGGUGACAAUGACUUCCAAAUAUAUAACUUUCUGAAGUAUUACUCAUAUAUCCUAUGUCUUUAUAUCUCCAAAUGAAUAUCAAAAUUAGCAUGUUAGAAGAACCACCAAUUUCCCCCUCAAGUGCGCCUCAUCCGUCUGUCUCUGAAUAAGAAAAUGAUGCUGCCAUAUAACUGUAGGUCUAUUAUUGCCAUUUCUCUAUCCCUUACUCUAUACCCAUUUCAUGAGCAGGUAGAAGGCUCCACCUUUAAAACACAUUUCAUCCUUGUUUAUUUCUCCCCAUUUGGAUUUAUUAUUCUGCUUGGGCAGCCUUAACAGAAUAUCUCAUACUGGGUGAUAUUCUGUUUAAUCAACAGAAACUUAUUUUCUCACAACUCUGAAGGUUGGACAUCUAAGGUCAAGGUGCCAGGAAGGCUGGUUUCUGCAGAGGCCUGGUGUCCUUGCUUCAGAUGGCCACCUUCUCACUGUGUUCUCAUCUUCACACAGCCUUCCCUCUGUGUGUGUAUAUUCCUGGCUUCUGGUGUGUCUUCCUCCUCUCAUAUGGACACCUUUCCUGUUGGAUUAGAAUUCUACACUUUUACCCUUGUUUAACCUUAGUUAUCUUCUUUAAGGUCUUAUCUCCAAAUAUAGUGACCUUGCCAUUUAGGGCUUCAGUAUAUCAAUUUGGCAGGGGGUACAGGUGUCACAAUUCAUUCCCUAUAGCCUUGUAAUAUGGAUCCCUAUUUUCAUCUUUAACUCACACAGCCCAUUGUUCAUUGGGCAUACAGGUGAUUUUCUUAAGACUUAAUUAGAUGAUAUUAGUUUUUGAUUAGGCCCUCCAGGCUUUCCAAUAACCCUUAGACUAAAACACUAAUAUCUUGGGCUGGCCUAGAAAGCCCAUGUCACUUCUUCCUAACUCUCUAAAUUCAUCCUGGACUACUUUCUCCUUUGUUCACAGACUUAGCUCAUCUUUGCCUCGGUGCUUUUCCAGUCUGGUCCCCAUCUCCAAAGCUCUUCACCCAGACCUUUUGGUUUUCAAGUCUCAGCAUAAAUAUUACUGCUGCAGCCUUUCACUUCCUUAUGUAAGGCGGAUACCACCCAGUGGAAUACAAGCCAUUCUAGCCAUGUUUCAGAUGGCACGUGAUUUUAUUUGUCAGCAAGCUGAGGACCGGAUGAUACAAUCCUGAGAGCUAUACACUAGGGAGAACGAAUGCACCUUGAAAGACUGAAUAUUUAAAAGACGCAAAAUGUCAAUUCGUAAAUAUUUGAGCAUUUGGUUGACAUCUCAUUUCAAGAAUAGAGUUGCCAAAACUGCUUUCACUAAUGAAAAAAGAAAUCUCAGCUCACUUAGAAGAUGAUAACUGCAUGAUAAAUGCACUCAUGGAAAGGAGUGAAAAGAGGAUUUCUGAGACAGGAAUACAGUCUUCAAGAUGAGGAGAG
rnacentral:lncRNA from 1 species